AUGGGGAUAACGAGUCGACGAUUGAAGCCCCCAACGUUGUGCCAGACACUGGACAGGGAUAUCUGGAUAGAUGGAUGGAUCUAUCUUUCUAUUCAGAUAUCUUUUGCAAUCAGCCCCAAAUCCUUGAUUUGGCCAGGAAACAAAGCACUGCUUUGGGCCCAGGAAGCGAAGGGAAUGAGCUCGGCUGCUUCUCCCCCACACUUCUUUAUUUCUCCGUGCCCCUUCCGCAUGCGCUUCGCGCGCCAUUGGCUCUUUGCUCUCCUCUUAUUUCUUCAUUGGAGGGUUCGGAUGGACUUCGCCGUUCUUUCCCAACGAAAAUGGAAAGGGUUGUAUCACAUCGAGAUGUCGAUUCGUUUUCCGCCCCAAAUGAGAUGGGGAAUUAGUCACCUCUGUCCCUUCAUCUUUUUGAAAGGAAUCGAGGCCCGGCCCGGCUCGCGUCGUUCCAACAACCGACGGGGAGCACCUCAGUAUACGAUCGCGCGCAGUAACUGGGAGUCCUAUUACACCUAA
rnacentral:rRNA from 1 species